CUAAACACAAGAACGAAACUCCACGUUUGAAUUUAGCCACCUACAUAUAUUAUUAUUUUUCUUUUUUUUCCAAUACCAGAAACAUUUCCUAUGAUGCUGUUUUAAUAGCUAAAAACUAAACAAACUAAAAAAAACACCUAAUCAGUCAACUCUGCAGUUUCUCUAAUCUCCGUGGGAUGUCCUCUUUUGCUGUUGUGGUUCUCAGCCUAUGAACUCUGACCUCUGGCUUUCAGCCCCAGUUCUCUCAGAACAUCGAACAAACGGUCACGUUCUUCUCUAUCUGCGUCUUGUUAAACUUUGGACCAUCUCAGCUGAAAACCUUCAUGACAGUCUUGUGACUUCUGGCUCCAAAACGCCGACAUCAGCGACCCCCUCAUCUCCGUUCUGCAGGUAAGGUCAGUUUAAAAAAAAAAAAACAACCUAACAAACAAAAAAGGUUGUUUCUUGAUGAGAUCAAGGCAAUUUAAAUAUAUGCACUAUUAAAGGUUUUUUUUUAUUUUUAUUUUUUUUAUAUUUCCUCACCUAACAAAGUUAAAUCUGUUCUAUGGGUUUUUUUUCUGGGACAGAUCAACACAAAGCAGUGCAGGAUUUGAAGUGGAAGGAAAGCGAUAUUUCGACGACUUCUUUCACGCGUGAAAAUCUGAAAAGUGUGGCGUGCUUUUGUAGCAAGGUUACUUUAGGUUACUAAAAUGAAAGAAAUGGCAAACAUUUUUGUCAACUGAUAAAACUGUAAGUAAUGAGGGGGAAAACUAUAACAGGAACUAUAUUGCGCCUUUAUAAAACAAACUAAAAUUUUGCUUUCAUGUUUAUAAAUCUAUUUAUUAGCAUUUCGAACUGAAGUGAAAUAGAUUUUUUUUUUUUACAGCACUUCAGACCUGCCUAUGCAUCUACCUGGUAGUGAAUAUUAAGCGAACCUGAAGUUCCUGUCCGACCAGAACCAGAACCGAGUUCCUGGCGUCUCAUCCACACGGCCAACACCUCAGACAAUCCACUUUUGAACGGCUUCAUGAGAAAACAAGAGUUGCUGAUGGGAUCACCAGGAAGGCUUGGUCUUGAUC